rnacentral:rRNA from 1 species
CGUGUAGGCGGGCCGGCAAGUCAGGUGUGAAAUCCCCGGGCUCAACUCGGGAACUGCACUUGAAACUGCCGGUCUGGAGUGCCGGAGAGGGUAGUGGAAUUCCUGGUGUAGAGGUGAAAUUCGUAGAUAUCAGGAGGAACACCGGUGGCGAAGGCGGCUACCUGGACGGUUACUGACGCUGAGACGCGAAAGCGUGGGGAGCAAACA